AAAUUGAAGAGUUUGAUCAUGGCUCAGAUUGAACGCUGGCGGCAGGCCUAACACAUGCAAGUCGAACGGUAACAGGAAGCAGCUUGCUGCUUUGCUGACGAGUGGCGGACGGGUGAGUAAUGUCUGGGAAACUGCCUGAUGGAGGGGGAUAACUACUGGAAACGGUAGCUAAUACCGCAUAACGUCGCAAGACCAAAGAGGGGGACCUUCGGGCCUCUUGCCAUCGGAUGUGCCCAGAUGGGAUUAGCUAGUAGGUGGGGUAACGGCUCACCUAGGCGACGAUCCCUAGCUGGUCUGAGAGGAUGACCAGCCACACUGGAACUGAGACACGGUCCAGACUCCUACGGGAGGCAGCAGUGGGGAAUAUUGCACAAUGGGCGCAAGCCUGAUGCAGCCAUGCCGCGUGUAUGAAGAAGGCCUUCGGGUUGUAAAGUACUUUCAGCGGGGAGGAAGGGAGUAAAGUUAAUACCUUUGCUCAUUGACGUUACCCGCAGAAGAAGCACCGGCUAACUCCGUGCCAGCAGCCGCGGUAAUACGGAGGGUGCAAGCGUUAAUCGGAAUUACUGGGCGUAAAGCGCACGCAGGCGGUUUGUUAAGUCAGAUGUGAAAUCCCCGGGCUCAACCUGGGAACUGCAUCUGAUACUGGCAAGCUUGAGUCUCGUAGAGGGGGGUAGAAUUCCAGGUGUAGCGGUGAAAUGCGUAGAGAUCUGGAGGAAUACCGGUGGCGAAGGCGGCCCCCUGGACGAAGACUGACGCUCAGGUGCGAAAGCGUGGGGAGCAAACAGGAUUAGAUACCCUGGUAGUCCACGCCGUAAACGAUGUCGACUUGGAGGUUGUGCCCUUGAGGCGUGGCUUCCGGAGCUAACGCGUUAAGUCGACCGCCUGGGGAGUACGGCCGCAAGGUUAAAACUCAAAUGAAUUGACGGGGCCCGCACAAGCGGUGGAGCAUGUGGUUUAAUUCGAUGCAACGCGAAGAACCUUACCUGGUCUUGACAUCCACGGAAGUUUUCAGAGAUGAGAAUGUGCCUUCGGGAACCGUGAGACAGGUGCUGCAUGGCUGUCGUCAGCUCGUGUUGUGAAAUGUUGGGUUAAGUCCCGCAACGAGCGCAACCCUUAUCCUUUGUUGCCAGCGGUCCGGCCGGGAACUCAAAGGAGACUGCCAGUGAUAAACUGGAGGAAGGUGGGGAUGACGUCAAGUCAUCAUGGCCCUUACGACCAGGGCUACACACGUGCUACAAUGGCGCAUACAAAGAGAAGCGACCUCGCGAGAGCAAGCGGACCUCAUAAAGUGCGUCGUAGUCCGGAUUGGAGUCUGCAACUCGACUCCAUGAAGUCGGAAUCGCUAGUAAUCGUGGAUCAGAAUGCCACGGUGAAUACGUUCCCGGGCCUUGUACACACCGCCCGUCACACCAUGGGAGUGGGUUGCAAAAGAAGUAGGUAGCUUGACCUUCGGGAGGGCGCUUACCACUUUGUGAUUCAUGACUGGGGUGAAGUCGUAACAAGGUAACCGUAGGGGAACCUGCGGUUGGAUCACCUCCUUACCUUAAAAAAGC
rnacentral:rRNA from 1 species